rnacentral:tRNA from 2 species
CGGGGUGUAGCGCAGCUUGGUAGCGCAUCUGGUUUGGGACCAGAGGGUCGCAGGUUCAAAUCCUGUCACCCCGA